rnacentral:misc_RNA from 1 species
AAGUCGUAACAAGGUUUCCGUAGGUGAACCUGCGGAAGGAUCAUUAGUGAUUGGUCGAAAGACCUUUUAUUAUUCCAAACACCUGUGCACCUGUAUGGCCCGCGAGGGUCUUUUUACAAACCUCUGUGUCUAGAAUGUAUAAACUAUAAUAAAACAAAACUUUUAACAACGGAUCUCUUGGCUCUC